UGGGGAAUAUUGCACAAUGGGCGCAAGCCUGAUGCAGCCAUGCCGCGUGUGUGAAGAAGGCCUUCGGUUGUAAAGCACUUUCAGCGAGGAGGAAGGUGGUGAGCUUAAUACGCUCAUCAAUUGACGUUACUCGCAGAAGAAGCACCGGCUAACUCCGUGCCAGCAGCCGCGGUAAUACGGAGGGUGCAAGCGUUAAUCGGAAUUACUGGGCGUAAAGCGCACGCAGGCGGUUUGUUAAGUCAGAUGUGAAAUCCCCGGGCUCAACCUGGGAACUGCAUUUGAAACUGCAAGCUAGAGUCUCGUAGAGGGGGUAGAAUUCCAGGUGUAGCGGUGAAAUGCGUAGAGAUCUGGAGGAAUACCGGUGGCGAAGGCGGCCCCCUGGACGAAGACUGACGCUCAGGUGCGAAAGCGU
rnacentral:rRNA from 1 species